AGCAUGAACAGGGGAAGGUCAGAGAGAGAGGGAGACACAGAAUCCGAAGCAGGCUCCAGACUCUGAACUGUCAGCACAGAGCCCAAUGCAGGGCUCGAACUCACAGACGGUGAGAUCAUGACCUGAGCUGAAGUCGGACGCUCAACUGACUGAGCCACCCAGGCGCCCCAUUCACGAGAUUCUUUAGUUGUCCUGUAAAUCCUCACUAGUUUAGAACACCGUAAUCUCAAAACCUGUUUUCACAGAAAUAAUUCCAUUUAUUUAUUUAUUUAUUUAUUUAUUUAUUUAUUUAUUUUUAAUUUAAUUUUAUUUUUUUAAAGUUUAUUUAUUUAUUUUGAAAGAGAAAGCACAAGCUGGGAAGGGGCAGAGAGAGCAGAGAGACAGAGAAUCCCAAACAGGCUCCACACCACCAGGACAGAGCUUGACGUGGGGCUCGAACCCACGAACCGUGAGACUAUGACCUGAGCUGAAGUUGGACGCUUAACCGACUGAGCCACCCAGGCGCCCCUUGCAGGAAUAAUUUUAAAAUAAUUACCUAUGAACUGAAGCAAAAAAAGAAAAAUGAGGCUAAAGAAUCAUCCAAAGAAAUGGAGAUUGUGUUUGAGUAAAUCUGUGGAAAGUACGGUUUACACUGUGAGGGGACAAUUUCACCCUUUCUAGAGUCGAGGAACACUAACUGCAUGUGGGUAAGGUGCUGCGAGGUGGUAGUUACCCUUCUCAUCCUGGUUGCUAUAGCUGGUGUUAUCUAUACUGUGUCCGCUAUCUCUCCAGCUCUGAAAAACAGGAGCCUCGACUUGGGCCGACUACACUGGUCAACGAGUUCACCUCUAAGCGUUACUGUGGCUGACACAUAUUCUCUGUCCAUCACAUCCCACUUAAUUCAGAGAGUCGGCUGCAAAUCACAGCAUUGACUGGGAACCCUCCGUGACUUAGUGCCUGUUCUAGAAUCUGAGGCUGAUGCACUGUCCAGUUUGUAAGGUUAUUGUGAUGAUUCAUUGAAUUAAUACAUGUAAAGCCUUUAGAUCGAGGCCUGGCACAGGAUAAGUCCUCAAAAAUAUUCAUUACAAUAAAUAUUAAUUUGUGGGACAAAAAUGCCUACUGGAAAUUAAUUUUUUAAAUACUUACUGGUUUAAGAAGCAAUUUUUUUUCCCAUUGAAUCAACUUUAACAGUCAAUAGAGAACGUGCAUACACUACAGUUUUUUUUUUCUCCCUACACCCAAGUAUUUGCUGCUCCCAUUUCAUAAACAGAAUAAAGUAAUCGUGUGCCUGGGAGUGUGUGGGGAGACAGGGCCCAGGGUACUAUGACUUUACAUGUUUCCGAUUCAAGUAGUAAUGUUGGCAGAAGUCACUGAUGCUGAGGUGAAUCGUUCCUAUCCAGUCUAUAAUGAAGAAGUCUUAACAAUUGGAGGAUUCAAAGGAAAAAUUAUUAGUUCUCAAACCAUCAAGGUAGCAUCAGCCAGCAAUGGAUCUUUCUCCUUAUAUCCUUAUGGCCUGAAAGAUUUUCCUUUAAGGCCAUGAUGGUUACUUUUAUGUGUUAACUUGGCUGGACUAAGGGAUGCUCAGAGAGCUGCUAAAAUAUUAUUUCUGGGUGUGUCUGUGAGGGUGUCUCUGGAAGAGAUUAAUUAGCAAUUGAUUCAGUAGACUAAAGAUCAACCUCACCAGAGCAAGUAGGCAUUGUCCAAUCUGUUGAGGGCCUAUAUAUGUUAAAAAAAAUAAAAAGAAA